rnacentral:rRNA from 1 species
CAGGCUUAACACAUGCAAGUCGAGGGGCAGCAUUUUAGUUUGCUUGCAAACUAAAGAUGGCGACCGGCGCACGGGUGAGUAACACGUAUCCAACCUGCCGAUAACUCGGGGAUAGCCUUUCGAAAGAAAGAUUAAUAUCCGAUGGUAUAUUUUCUCCGCAUGGUGAGAAUAUUAAAGAAUUUCGGUUAUCGAUGGGGAUGCGUUCCAUUAGUUUGUUGGCGGGGUAACGGCCCACCCAGACCACGAUGGAUAGGGGUUCUGAGAGGAAGGUCCCCCACAUUGGAACUGACACACGGUCCAAACUCCUACGGGAGGCAGCACUGAGGAAUAUUGGUCAAUGGACGAGAGUCUGAACCAGCCAAGUAGCGUGAAGGAUGACUGCCCUAUGGGUUGUAAACUUCUUUUAUAUGGGAAUAAAGUGUUCCCCGUGUGGGAUUUUGCAUGUACCAUAUGAAUAAGGAUCGGCUAACUCCGCGCCCAGCAGCCGCGGUAAUACCGAGGAUCCCAGCGUUAUCCGGGAUUUAUUGGUUUUAAAGGGGAGCGUAGGUGGAUUGUUAAGUCAGUUGUGAAAGUUUGCGGCUCAACCGUAAAAUUGCAGUUGAAACUGGCAGUCUUGAGUACAGUAGAGGUGGGCGGAAUUCGUGGUGUAGCGGUGAAAUGCUUAGAUAUCACGAAGAACUCCGAUUGCGAAGGCAGCUCACUAGACUGCAACUGACACUGAUGCUCGAAAGUGUGGGUAUCAAACAGGAUUAGAUACCCUGGUAGUCCACACAGUAAACGAUGAAUACUCGCUGUUUGCGAUAUACAGUAAGCGGCCAAGCGAAAGCAUUAAGUAUUCCACCUGGGGAGUACGCCGGCAACGGUGAAACUCAAAGGAAUUGACGGGGGCCCGCACAAGCGGAGGAACAUGUGGUUUAAUUCGAUGAUACGCGAGGAACCUUACCCGGGCUUAAAUUGCAUUUGAAUAAUCUGGAAACAGGUUAGCCGCAAGGCAAAUGUGAAGGUGCUGCAUGGUUGUCGUCAGCUCGUGCCGUGAGGUGUCGGCUUAAGUGCCAUAACGAGCGCAACCCUUAUCUUUAGUUACUAACAGGUCAUGCUGAGGACUCUAGAGAGACUGCCGUCGUAAGAUGUGAGGAAGGUGGGGAUGACGUCAAAUCAGCACGGCCCUUACGUCCGGGGCUACACACGUGUUACAAUGGGGGGUACAGAAGGCAGCUACCUGGCGACAGGAUGCUAAUCCCAAAAACCUCUCUCAGUUCGGAUCGAAGUCUGCAACCCGACUUCGUGAAGCUGGAUUCGCUAGUAAUCGCGCAUCAGCCAUGGCGCGGUGAAUACGUUCCCGGGCCUUGUACACACCGCCCGUCAAGCCAUGAAAGCCGGGGGUACCUGAAGUACGUAACCGCAAGGAGCGUCCUAGGGUAAAACUGGUAAUUGGGGC